rnacentral:rRNA from 1 species
ACCCGCACCACUUAUCGUGGUGGGAGACAGUGUCAGGCGGGCAGUUUGACUGGGGCGGUCGCCUCCUAAAAGGGAACGGAGGCGCUCAAAGGUUCCCUCAGAAUGGUUGGAAAUCAUUCAUAGAGGGGAAAGGCAUAAGGGAGCUUGACUGCGAGACCUACAAGUCGAGCAGGGUCGAAAGACGGACUUAGUGAUCCGGUGGUUCCGCAUGGAAGGGCCAUCGCUCAACGGAUAAAAGCUACCCCGGGGAUAA